rnacentral:rRNA from 1 species
GCCGGCGACCGGCGCACGGGUGAGUAACGCGUAUGCGACCUGCCCGUCACAGGGGGAUAAUCCGGAGAAAUCCGGUCUAAUACCGCAUAAUAUCGUGAAUCUGCAUGGAUUUGCGAUUAAAGGAGCGAUCCGGUGACGGAUGGGCAUGCGUGACAUUAGCUAGUCGGCGGGGUAACGGCCCACCGAGGCGACGAUGUCUAGGGGUUCUGAGAGGAAGGUCCCCCACACUGGUACUGAGACACGGACCAGACUCCUACGGGAGGCAGCAGUGAGGAAUAUUGGUCAAUGGGCUUACGCCUGAACCAGCCAAGUCGCGUGAGGGAAGACUGCCCUAUGGGUUGUAAACCUCUUUUGUCAGGGAGCAACGCCGGCUACGUGUAGCCGGACUGAGAGUACCUGAAGAAAAAGCAUCGGCUAACUCCGUGCCAGCAGCCGCGGUAAUACGGAGGAUGCGAGCGUUAUCCGGAUUUAUUGGGUUUAAAGGGUGCGUAGGCGGAAUGCCAAGUCAGCGGUAAAAUCGCGGGGCUCAACCUCGCUCCGCCGUUGAAACUGGCGUUCUUGAGUGAGCGAGAAGUAUGCGGAAUGCGUGGUGUAGCGGUGAAAUGCAUAGAUAUCACGCAGAACUCCGAUUGCGAAGGCAGCAUGCCGGCGCUCAACUGACGCUCAUGCACGAAAGCGUGGGUAUCGAACAGGAUUAGAUACCCUGGUAGUCCACGCCGUA